GACGAACGCUGGCGGCGUGCCUAACACAUGCAAGUCGAGCGAGUGGAGUUCUUCGGAACAAAGCUAGCGGCGGACGGGUGAGUAACACGUGGGCAACCUGCCUCAUAGAGGGGAAUAGCCUUCCGAAAGGGAGAUUAAUACCGCAUAAGAUUGUAGCUUCGCAUGAAGUAGCAAUUAAAGGAGCAAUCCGCUAUGAGAUGGGCCCGCGGCGCAUUAGCUAGUUGGUGAGGUAACGGCUCACCAAGGCGACGAUGCGUAGCCGACCUGAGAGGGUGAUCGGCCACAUUGGGACUGAGACACGGCCCAGACUCCUACGGGAGGCAGCAGUGGGGAAUAUUGCACAAUGGGGGAAACCCUGAUGCAGCAACGCCGCGUGAGUGAUGACGGCCUUCGGGUUGUAAAGCUCUGUCUUCAGGGACGAUAAUGACGGUACCUGAGGAGGAAGCCACGGCUAACUACGUGCCAGCAGCCGCAGUAAAAC
rnacentral:rRNA from 1 species